rnacentral:tRNA from 1 species
GAAGAUCGGAGGUUAAAUUCCUCCCUAGCGCC